GUCCGCAGGAGGAUUUAUGUUCUCCUCAGGCAAAAUCUUGUGACAAACGUUAGCAGGGGAAAGCCACAACCUGAACAAGCCCUUGACUGAGGGAGGCCCACUAAUUCCGAUGGAGAGCAAGCGUCUUCCAGUUCACAGGUCUCAUUUUCUGAAAAGAACUUGUGAGAAAAUGUGUGAUAAUUUAGAAAAUCGGCCAUCGGUUUUGUCCUCUGCAGUUACUCUGCUUGUCAAACAUUGACGCUGUUCUUAAGAUUUUUUAGGUGUUGACGCUGAGCAUUACUGGGACCUGAUAGAUCACAAAAGAAGGCGGAUUCAACUAAACCCAAGCCAAUGACAGAGCAAUCAGUGAGUUUUCUGCACUUUUCUCCACGAAACGCUUUUUCCUUUCAAUUUUGGCUUUUAAAAAUGCCCGUAUUUCUCUCUCCACUUUAUUUCUUUUAAUUUUGGUUGUUGCAAUUAAUAACUUAGGAAGUCUCCCUUUCAUUGCUUACAUUAACCUUUUUUUGUAACCCAUUUGACGAAAGCCCUGCCGUUUGUCUGAGCUUUCAUUGCUGUCCUCCUGAAGCUUGGUAAUCGAGGGUCACCCUUAUCUUCGGGGGAAAAAAAAAAUUUCCUUCUGACUAAAGUGGAAAACUUUUGAGAUUACCUACCUGCUAAAAUACACCAAGCUAAAAUACACCAAGCUUCAACCUGAUGGCAAAGGGCUCCUCCUACGCGCUUUGAAAUUAUGACACCCAAGUUGGCGGUAGCCUGGGAAAACUUUGCAGGCAUCCUUUUAUUGACUACCCAAACUGAAAACUUGUGUAGAGAAGGUUGUAAGUGCUGUAAUAUAUGAGUUGCAUAAUUGUUAUCAGUACAAACGAUGGAAUUCAUGACUCUCUCUCUCUCUCU